UCCAGCGGUAGUCAGCUGUCCAGUGCUUUAUGUGCCUGGGACUGUGUUACACUGCUGGGAGACAAAGUCCCCACUGCCUUAUGCUGGUGUGAAUUGUUGCCGUUCUGGUGACAUCACACUUACAUUUAGGAGUGCUGUGAUUCCUCGAGAGUGCGCCUCAUAAAUACUUCUAUUUGGUGCUAGUCUGGAAUCACACAGU